CGCAGAAUGAGAAGGGCACAGAAACCGAAAGUUGCACAAAAAAAGUAAAUUGUAGUUUCCAUCAAAUUAGAUGAAAUGGCAUCUUUUCUGGUGCUAUUUUAUCUCUGCUUCAGCUUGGUCGAUGCAGCUCAAAAUUUUCAGGAAGUAUCUGAUUGUCCACGGAAUGCGGACACAUGGAAAAUAGAAUCGGACAAGAAAAAUUGUCAGGAGUACACGCCCGACUAUCUGUGUGCAGCGAUAGAAAACAAUGUUGGGAAAUUCGGGGAAAUAUGCACGAAAUAUGGACUCUCCCCUGGAA